UAUAUACAUACAUAUAUAUAUAAAUGUAUGUAUAGAUAGAUACAUACAUAUAAUCAUUUGAGAGAUAAAUAGAUAAGAGUGAGCUAGGUUGAUACACCUGGCUGUGUAUAUAUCAAGUCACUACUUCUGUCAUCUGCAUCAGAAUCAAAAGCUAAAGUUAUACAAACUCGAUUUCUUCAUUAAAUCCAAGAUCCACCGUUUGUGAUCAUGCCUAGAAUUACGGUAUUAACACUACUUUCGAUAACGUCCUCAAUGCUAGUAUUUUACUGCCUUGCAUCGGAGUUGAAGCCCGAACAGAUCAACCGACCACAAUCUAUUGCAGCUCCUCGCACAGAGCGAGACACAACCAGAGCAUCGAAAGAUGUUCUGGCUAAUAUCUUAUUAAACAUCUUACGAGAAAGGAAUAUGGCAAAUGGAUAUAUAAACUAUCCAUCGGCUUCCAGUUUGGAUAACCAGCUUGAUUCAUCGUCUCAGCUACAGAAGAAGAAUACAUAUUACGGUUACCGUCGAAGCAAUGGACGUGUGCCAUCGUUCGGAAGUAAGAUUUUCCCUUCUUCAUCAGAAGAAGAUAGCGGUCCUUCAGUUUUUAGGUAUGGUUAAUUUAAAAAACAACAACAAAAUGGAACUAUUCACUGACACGCCUAAUUUUAACUACAACUGUAGAAAUUACAACUUCAACAACAACAACAUCAACAGCAGCAGCAAUAAUAUUAACAAGAACACCAACAACAACAGCAGCAGCAGCAGAAAUAAGCAGAAGCAACAUCAAUUUAAAUAACAAAUAAUUUAGUAAAAUACGAAAUAAAGUUAUUCAGAAACCAUGAAAAAAA
rnacentral:lncRNA from 1 species